AUUUUUUCAAAGUAAAAUUAAUUCAAUUAAUGUUAUCAAAAUAAAUUAUGUGACUUUUUAAAGCACCAUAUCUAAUUCAUUGAUCCCUUUCACUAUUCCAAAUCUCUUCUCAAUGAAGUAAUUUUCAAUGGCAAACUGGAAUGUGUAAAAACUGUUAAUUUCAUAUAAUAUUCCUCCAAAUUUAAUCAAUAUUUGCUGUUUAAAGUUGUUUCUUCUAUAAAUUUGUCUUUGGCUAAUUUAAUCCUAAAACUUUACCACAUGUUCUGUUGUGUCUCUAUCAUAUCUUAAACAUCAUUUCCUCAUCAUCAUGGACUUCAGAGUGACCAGCAAUUAUCACAUAUUUUCUUGAUGAUCUUUUCCCCCAAGGUCUAGUUUGAGACUUUACAAAUGCUUACCAGUGGACUUCUAAAUCCUCAAGGGAAAGAAAUAAACACACACAGUGCCAGCUUUCUGGGGUCACCUUACUUGCAAAAGUGUUGCUUUUCGGCAUUGUUUUAAUAAACUCAGAGAGACUUGGAUCUUCUUUAGAAAAGAAUGUUAAUGACCACCAUCCAAAGACCACUGGAAGCACAGAGGCAGUCAAAGUUAGAUGUAUUAUUUGCUGAAGCAGGGGCCACCAUAUCCCAUGAGGAGCUCUGAAGUUAUCUCUGCAAAAAGGUGAUAUUGGGAGCAGAAAUGGGCAUCUCACUACGUUGCCCAAGGUGGUCUCAAACUCCUGGGUUCAAACGCUCCUCCCACCUCCAUCUCCCAAAGCAUUGGAAUAACGGGCAUGAGCCACCAUGCCUGGCCUCAACAUUGACAUUUACAUCAGUAGACUUUGAAUAAAGAAAAUUAAUCUCCAUAAUAUGAGUCGGCUUCAUCCAAUCAGUUGAAAGCCUUAAGAGUAAAGACUAAGAUUUCCAGAAGAAGCAGCAAUUCUGCCUCAAGAUUGCAGCAUAGAAUUCCUACUUCAGUUUCUCAUCUGUUGCCCUGCCCAGAAGAUUUUAGAUUCAAGACUGCAACAUCAGUUCUUACCUGAAUCUCCAGUCUGCCAGCCCACCAGUCAUAUGGCCUGCUCCUCACUGUAUAAGCCUCAUCUCUACCUAAUUUGGAGUCAGCCCUGUCCAGGAGGCUGAAUCCUAUAGACUAUCAACUGAUACGAUAAGCAAAAACAAUGGCCCCUCUAAAGACAUUCACAUCCUAAUCCCUGGAACUUGUGAACAUGUUACCUUAUGUGGCAGAAGAAGUCGGUGAUGCUAUGUGAAGACUCAAUCUUCCAUUGCUGGCUUUGAAAAUGGAGGAGCUGGCCACGAGCUAAGGAAUAUGGAGGGAAUUUUGAAACUGGAAAACGCAAGGAAAUGGAUUCUCCUCUAGAGCCCCCAGAAAGGAAUACAGCCCUGCCGACACUUUUAUUUGAGCCCAGUGAGACCUUUGUAGGACUUCUGACCUACAGAACUGUUAGAUAAAAAAUUUAUAUUAUUUAAGCCACCAAGCUUGUGGUCAUUUGUUACAGCAGUAAUAGGGAACUGCAGCUGGCUUCUGGUUGAAUUUGGCUAAUGGGAAUCAUCUGAAGAAGAUCAGAUGCUGAGAGGAAGAAGUGGUUGGAGUACUCCUUUACUAUUCUCCACUUGCUCUGCGCUGAGUGUCCUGGUGAGGGCGACAUCUCUCCCCAGCUAGAAUGUCUCCUCCACUGCUCUGGCUCUCAAUGGGAUGCUGAGGCACCAUUUCCUGUUUGCCCCUUCAAGCCUAGGGCUGGUAAGGACUUCCUGUUCUUAUCUGUCUUCUUACUCUACCCACAAUUUCAUAAGUAGUUCGUGAAGUAGCUCAAAUAGUGUUCCCCAAAAUUCACGUUCACCCAGAACCUCAGAAGGUGACCAUAUUUGGAAAUAGGGUCUGUGAAGGUAUAAUUAACUAAGGAUCUUGAGAUGAAAUCAUCGGAUAUUUAGGGUGACCCCUAAAUCCAAUGACUGGUGUCUUUGUGAGAAGAGGAAAAAACACAGAGAGACACACCAAGAAAGCCAUGUGAAGAUGGAGGCAGAUUAGGGUGAUGCCUCUUCAAGCCAGUGAAUGCCCAGGAUUGUGAGCAAACACCAGAUACUAAGAGAGACGCAUGGGCUUUCCCUCAGAGCCUCUAGAAGAAACCAAUUCUGUCAACACCUUAAGUUUGGACUUCUAGCCUCCUUAACUGUGAGAAAAUAAAUUUCUUUUGUUUUAAGCCACU
rnacentral:lncRNA from 10 species